rnacentral:misc_RNA from 1 species
UCAGGCGAGGGCAGGCGCGAGCGAUAGAGCCGCGCCAGCGCCGCUGCGAUGUCCUCAGCCGAACGCUCGGCGAGCAGUGCGCGCGCCAGAACGAGAUCGUCUUCGGUGGUCGCUUCACCAAACAGCGCGUCCUGCAGCAUACGCUGCUGAUCGAGCGCGCGGAUUUCCUCUACGGUGGGAGACGUGCCCCAUACCGCAUCGAUGCCCG